CAGCUAGUUGGUGAGGUAAUGGCUCACCAAGGCGACGAUCCGUAACUGGUCUGAGAGGAUGAUCAGUCACACUGGAACUGAGACACGGUCCAGACUCCUACGGGAGGCAGCAGUGGGGAAUAUUGGACAAUGGGCGAAAGCCUGAUCCAGCCAUGCCGCGUGUGUGAAGAAGGUCUUCGGAUUGUAAAGCACUUUAAGUUGGGAGGAAGGGCAUUAACCUAAUACGUUGGUGUCUUGACGUUACCGACAGAAUAAGCACCGGCUAACUCUGUGCCAGCAGCCGCGGUAAUACAGAGGGUGCAAGCGUUAAUCGGAAUUACUGGGCGUAAAGCGCGCGUAGGUGGUUCGUUAAGUUGGAUGUGAAAUCCCCGGGCUCAACCUGGGAACUGCAUUCAAAACUGA
rnacentral:rRNA from 1 species